GAUGAACGCUGGCGGCGUGCCUAAUACAUGCAAGUCGAGCGAAUGGAUUAAGAGCUUGCUCUUAUGAAGUUAGCGGCGGACGGGUGAGUAACACGUGGGUAACCUGCCCAUAAGACUGGGAUAACUCCGGGAAACCGGGGCUAAUACCGGAUAACAUUUUGAACCGCAUGGUUCGAACUUGAAAGGCGGCUUCGGCUGUCACUUAUGGAUGGACACGCGUCGCAUUAGCUAGUUGGUGAGGUAACGGCUCACCAAGGCAACGAUGCGUAGCCGACCGGAGAGGGUGAUCGGCCACACUGGGACUGAGACACGGCCCAGACUCCUACGGGAGGCAGCAGUAGGGAAUCUUCCGCAAUGGACGAAAGUCUGACGGAGCAACGCCGCGUGAGUGAUGAAGGCUUUCGGGUCGUAAAACUCUGUUGUUAGGGAAGAACAAGUGCUAGUUGAAUAAGCUGGCACCUUGACGGUACCUAACCAGAAAGCCACGGCUAACUACGUGCCAGCAGCCGCCGUAA
rnacentral:rRNA from 1 species